AAUAAGUAUAGUUUGGCACUAUUCAUGCCUAACGUUUGACUGUUCGUCUUAUUUGAAUUUUUUUAUUAAUAUUUGUUGUUAGUAGAUGAUAAAACAUGAAUAGUACUUUAUGUGUGACUAUUUUUUUAAAAUUUUCUUAAUAAAUUUUUCAAAUAAGACAGAUGGUUAAACGUUGGACAUAGAUACCCACGACUAUACUUGUU
rfam:Oryza glumipatula chromosome 6, whole genome shotgun sequence.